rnacentral:rRNA from 1 species
AUUGAACGCUGGCGGCAGGCCUAACACAUGCAAGUCGAGCGAGCGGCGGACGGGUGAGUAAUGUAUGGGGACUGCCCGAUAGAGGGGGAUAACUACUGGAAACGGUGGCUAAUACCGCAUACUAUCGGAUAACCCAUAUGGGAUUAGCUAGUAGGGGGGGUAAAGGCUCACCGAGGCGACGAUCUCUAGCUGGUCUGAGAGGAUGAUCAGCCAGACUGGGACUGUGACCCGGCACAGACUCCGACGGAGGGAGCAGUGGGGAAUAUUGCACAAUGGGGGCGAGACUGAUGAAGCCAUGCCACGUGUAUGAAGAAGGCCUUAGGGUUGUAAAGUACUUUCUGCGGGGAGGCGUUACCCUCAGAAGAAGCGCCGGCUAAAUCCGUGCCAGCAGCCGCGGUAAUUC